ACUCUCCCUUCUCCAUUCUC
rnacentral:misc_RNA from 1 species